GGACUACUGGGGUUUCUAAUCCUGUUUGCUCCCCACGCUUUCGUGCCUCAGCGUCAAAACAGGCCCAGGAGGUUGCCUUCGCCAUCGGUGUUCUUCCAGAUAUCUACGCAUUUCACUGCUACACCUGGAGUUCCGCCUCCCUCUACCGUUUUCUAGCCUGUCAGUAUCGAAUGCAGUUCCCAGGUUGAGCCCAGGGAUUUCACAUCCGACUUAACAAACCGCCUACGCACGCUUUACGCCCAGUAAAUCCGAUUAACGCUUGCACCCUCUGUAUUACCGCGGCUGCUGGCAC
rnacentral:rRNA from 1 species